UGGGGAAUAUUGGACAAUGGGCGCAAGCCUGAUCCAGCAAUGCCGCGUGAGUGAUGAAGGCCUUCGGGUUGUAAAGCUCUUUCGCACGCGACGAUGAUGACGGUAGCGUGAGAAGAAGCCCCGGCUAACUUCGUGCCAGCAGCCGCGGUAAUACGAAGGGGGCUAGCGUUGUUCGGAAUUACUGGGCGUAAAGGGCGCGUAGGCGGCGUGUCAAGUCAGGCGUGAAAGCCCCGGGCUCAACCUGGGAACCGCGCUUGAGACUGGCAUGCUCGAGUUCGGGAGAGGAUGGUGGAAUUCCCAGUGUAGAGGUGAAAUUCGUAGAUAUUGGGAAGAACACCGAUGGCGAAGGCAGCCAUCUGGACCGACACUGACGCUGAGGCGCGAAAGCGUGGGGAGCAAACA
rnacentral:rRNA from 1 species